GCGUAAGAAUAGAUGAAAUCAAUGGCAGAUGAUGCGGGCCCAAAAAAAGAACAUAAAUUGCUGGUGGAAUUGUCGCAAAGUACGAACGGAAGAUUUGCUGUUUUAUCAGGAGUUUCGAGGUUGACAAGGCUUUUUGUUACUCUAUUUCUACUUCCAUAUCCUUUCCUUCCCACCAUUCUCCAACUUUAGCUCUCUCUUUUUCUUUUUCAUUUUUUUUUUCCUUCAGAGAAGAAUAUUUCACUUCAAGUUAGGCCGAAGCUCUGUUGUAUGAGCAUCUUAGCUGCAGAAUUUUGCUUUUCUUCUAGUUUCCUACUGUUUCGCUGAAACCAAACAGUGCAAAGGUUGUUCUACUUUCAAUUCAUUGAACAGUGGAUUUUUGUAAAGAUUUUAUUAGUGAGGCGCGAUGGGGAAUGCUUCUUCAAUGCUAACUCAAUAUGAUAUUGAAGAAGUUCAAGAGCACUGCCAUAAAUUAUUCUCUCUGCAGGAAAUUGUUUCAUUGUACCAAAGGUUUUGCCAGUUAGAUCGAAAUGCAAAGGGAUUUAUAUCUGCUGAUGAGUUCUUAUCAGUUCCAGAGUUUGCAAUGAAUCCACUCUCUCAGAGGCUGCUUAAGAUGGUGGAUGGUUUGAACUUUAAGGACUUUGUAGCCUUCUUGUCAGCGUUUAGUGCUAAAGCAAGUGUACAGCAGAAAAUUCAACUUAUCUUCAAAGUGUAUGAUUCUGACGGUAAUGGAAAGGUUUCUUUCAAUGACAUACUAGAAGUGUUGCGUGAUUUGUCUGGUUCAUUUAUUUCCGAUAACCAAAGAGAGCAAGUCUUGACCCAACUUUUGAAAGAAGCAGGUUACUUGAGGGACUCUUACCUAAUGUUGGAUGACUUCAUCAAGGACCAAUUCUCAGCAUUAUGGGUACGAGAAUAUUUUGAUCUUUUCUCCUGGUUGCAAAGGUUUUGACAGUGUCUGCUGGGUUGAGUGACUUAAACCUUGAAGCUGGUUGCAAAAGACACUUGAGAUAUAAGAGGGGUUUUCGGGAGCUCUGGCCUAAAAAUGGAGGUUGAAGUUCCAGUUGAUUAAGCUAAUUUGUGCAGUCUUUCCCCUGAAUAAUUGGAGACGAACUAACUGUAUGCAUCAUACGAGAGAAACACAUAUUAGAAGCAUACAUAAUACACCUAUACUAUUCCCCUUUCAUGUUUCCUUACCUCAGAUCCAAUAAAUAAUUAAGCAACUUAAGUAUCAAAAUAAGCUUCAGGUCUCUGUAAAUGUUUCUAUUUAUCUUCAAAAUUUUCAAGUCUGAGAAAUGUAAUUUAGGAGUUCAAGAUUCUUGUUUCCUUGUCCUGCUUCUCCUUCUUCUUCUCUUAUUUGAGUGAUAGCAUUUUCUUGGACCAUAUUGGAAACUGUAUAGUUAAACAGUAUGAUGACAUUCAUGGUCUUAGACUGGACCUGAUGUGAUAAAUCAAUAGGUUUUUUUAUCUCUUUCCUAAAGAAACAUAUGGCAAGUCAUGGUAACAGAUGCCAUCUGAUGGAUUAAAAAUGCUCAGCAAGGGAACUGUGAGCGAGGGUAAUUUACGCAAGGGUUUUUUUUUUUUUUUUUUUGAACAAAAGAGGUCAUAAGAAUAAGAGAAGGAAUUAUAGUUGUAAAUGUUAAGAUUUUAACUUUAAAUCUGCAAAAUGUCAUUUUUUAAGUGCCAGGGGAGUGUAACACUCCCCUUGAAUGUGCAUGGCAAUUUUUCGUUUAACCUGUCUCAUGUUCUUUCUAGAAACUCAAAAGCAAUCUCUGUUCCACUGCAACUACUGCACACUGCUUGCUGCAAUGGCAAACUCUCUUAGAAGAGACAUGCAAAA